rnacentral:rRNA from 1 species
CCUACGGGAGGCAGCAGUGAGGAAUAUUGGUCAAUGGCCGUAAGGCUGAACCAGCCAAGUCGCGUGAAGGAAGAAGGAUCUAUGGUUUGUAAACUUCUUUUAUAGGGGAAUAAAGGUAUCCACGUGUGGAUCUUUACAUGUACCCUAUGAAUAAGCAUCGGCUAACUCCGUGCCAGCAGCCGCGGUAAUACGGAGGAUGCGAGCGUUAUCCGGAUUUAUUGGGGUUAAAGGGUUCGUAGGUUGUUUUUUAAGUCAGCGGGGAAAGUUUGUGGCUCAACCAUAAAAUUGCCGUUGAAACUGGAAGACUGGAGUGUGCUUGAGGUAGGCGGAAUGCGUGGUGUAGCGGUGAAAUGCAUAGAUAUCACGCAGAACUCCGAUUGCGAAGGCAGCUUACUAAGCCAUAACUGACACUGAAGCACGAAAGCGUGGGGAUCAAACAGGAUUAGAUACCCCUGUAGUC